rnacentral:rRNA from 1 species
UACGUAGGUCCCGAGCGUUGUCCGGAUUUAUUGGGCGUAAAGCGAGCGCAGGUGGUUUAUUAAGUCUGGUGUAAAAGGCAGUGGCUCAACCAUUGUAUGCAUUGGAAACUGGUAGACUCGAGUGCAGGAGAGGAGAGUGGAAUUCCAUGUGUAGCGGUGAAAUGCGUAGAUAUAUGGAGGAACACCGGUGGUGAAAGCGGCUCUCUGGCCUGUAACUGACACUGAGGCUCGAAAGCGUGGGGAGCAAACAGG